rnacentral:rRNA from 1 species
AACGAACGCUGGCGGCAGGCUUAACACAUGCAAGUCGAACGGUGUAGCAAUACAGCAGUGGCAGACGGGUGAGUAACACGUGGGAACCUUCCUAGGGGUACGGAACAACUCAGGGAAACUUGAGCUAAUACCGUAUACGUCCGUGAGGAGAAAGAUUUAUCGCCCUUAGACGGGCCCGCGUCGGAUUAGCUAGUUGGUGGGGUAACGGCCUACCAAGGCGACGAUCCGUAGCUGAUCUUAGAGGAUGAUCAGCCACACUGGGACUGAGACACGGCCCAGACUCCUACGGGAGGCAGCAGUGGGGAAUCUUGGACAAUGGGCGCAAGCCUGAUCCAGCCAUGCCGCGUGAGUGAAGAAGGUCUUCGGAUUGUAAAGCUCUUUUGCCAGGGACGAUAAUGACGGUACCUGGAGAAUAAGCCCCGGCAAACUUCGUGCCAGCAGCCGCAGUAA